CUUCCAUUGUGAAAACAAGCAUCUUGUUAAUUGCCCGAGCCUCACCUUGAAAGGUGGCAAGAAUGUCUACUAGAUAAAAGUUCGUGCUCCAUUCUUGCAAUGCCUGAAUGAGUUAUGUGCAGCUCAAAACUUGAGCCAGGUUGUACACGAGAAGGUGAGCACCUAUGAUAAUAAUAAAUAAUAGAUGAAUACAUUGUUUUUAUGGGUGUUUACGCAUUUGUUUUACUGUUGCUCUCGGUCUGGAGGUGUCCGUGUCGAGGAUGGUACGGGCUGGAGCUUUGGUGUCUUCGUCUCACCGCAUGGAGCUGCUGCUACUGGUAUGCCUCUCUUCUCACUGUCUCUUGGGUUGUUUCUUGCUGUGUAGCUUUAUUUGUGUUUCCUGAAGAUAGGAGAGCGCCAACGACACUUGUGAGUGACAUCAGCUGUAUACAAAUUGAUAUUUAAUAUGGAGAAUUGAGUUAGUGAAGCUGUGUGGCCAUGGCAAUGUGCCGAUGUACACCUGGUUCCUAACCCUGUGAGCUGCUCCUCCGCUUCACAUAUGCAUAGUGCAGAUAUGUAGACACAUUCAGAAGAGGUCGCUUGGCUUAGAGCAGUGCAACUUGGAGGAAUGGAGGUGGAGACAGCGAUAAAGCGGAGAUCCUUCUAGCUUGUGGCAGAGCUUCCUGGCGGUGAUCACACAACGAUGAGGUUGUGAUUCCUUUUUACUCAGAUUGAGAUGAUAGCAGUAUCGGGUGAGAUGAGGCAGCCUGAAAAACACACUGUUUUGAUCGGGUGCAGG